GAUGAACGCUGGCGGCGUGCCUAAUACAUGCAAGUCGAGCGAAUGGAUUGAGAGCUUGCUCUUAUGAAGUUAGCGGCGGACGGGUGAGUAACACGUGGGUAACCUGCCCAUAAGACUGGGAUAACUCCGGGAAACCGGGGCUAAUACCGGAUAACAUUUUGAACCGCAUGGUUCGAAAUUGAAAGGCGGCUUCGGCUUUCACUUAUGGAUGGACCCGCGUCGCAUUAGCUAGUUGGUGAGGUAACGGCUCACCAAGGCAACGAUGCGUAGCCGACCUGGGAGGGUGAUCGGCCACACUGGGACUGAGACACGGCCCAGACUCCUACGGGAGGCAGCAGUAGGGAAUCUACCGCAAUGGACGAAAGUCUGACGGAGCAACGCCGCGUGAGUGAUGAAGGCUUUCGGGUCGUAAAACUCUGUUGUUAGGGAAGAACAAGUGCUAGUUGAAUAAGCUGGCACCUUGACGGUACCUAACCAGAAAGCCACGGCUAACUACGUGCCAGCCGCCGCAGUAA
rnacentral:rRNA from 1 species